rnacentral:snoRNA from 1 species
UUUGCACACUGUUAGAGCCCGGCACUGUCCUGUCUGUGCAGUGCGGGGUGUAGGAUGUGUGCUAAAAAAAUGCGCCUGACCUUUAACCUCUUCUUUCUGAACCACGCAGAGGGAGACAGGUAGAGGUCUUGCUACAAAA